ACGAUGAAGAGUUUGAUCCUGGCUCAGGAUGAACGCUAGCGGCAGGCUUAACACAUGCAAGUCGAGGGGUAUAGUUUUUCGGAACUAGAGACCGGCGCACGGGUGCGUAACGCGUAUGCAAUCUACCUUUUACAGGGGGAUAGCCCAGAGAAAUUUGGAUUAAUACCCCAUGGUAUAUGGAUUUCGCAUGAAGUUCAUAUUAAAGUUCCAACGGUA
rnacentral:ncRNA from 1 species